GGCAACAAACAGCGAUCUAUUUGCCUUCGUCCUGCUCAUCUUCCCCGUUCCUCUUGUUCGUCCUUGUAAAAGAACACGGCGGAGGUACGUUCAUCUGUGGUCUUUAGGUGGCGAGAUCAACUCCCUUUUGCCUCCCUUCAAAAAAAAACUCCCUUUUGCCUUAUCUCUCUUCUGAUCGUCCCCCAUGUUCAGAGUGAAACCAAGGCAAGCUGAUCUGUAGGCGAUGCAGAUUAUCUCCAUUUUGUCUUCCUUCUACUAGCAACAAAAAAGAAGACAAUAAAUCAGAAGGUAUGUGACAUACACUCUGAUUGUAUUCAUGUUCUCAAGGCACACAACUCGUAGAUUGAGUUUGUGAUGCUACUAUUUUCUUAAUAGAGGAUGAUAAGGACAAGAUGCAAAACUUAUUUUCUGUAUCUUUUAGAGUAUGUUAGAGUGAAAAGAAAUAAUUUUCAUAGAGGUGAUCUCUAUUGUUUUGGACUAGCUCAAGAUAAAAUGCAUGAAUGUAUCCAAAUAUUUACUAUGACUGUAUUAAUGUUCUCAAGACAGCAAGGGAAUUUUUGGACUGAGUUCGCUAUGAUAUCACAGAUUACACAAAAAGGAGAAGAGAAGGUCCAAUGGAGAAUAUGACUACCUCUAAUGACGACGCUAACAGGUACCGACAAUUUUAUUAAAUUCUCAUGUCAUAUCACCUUAUGAUUGUAGUGUAAGCAUACAAAAAAAUAAGUUAUGUGUAAUUUUUAUAGGAAAAAUGUGAUUCCUAGUUGGAUGCCUCAGAUUGGUAUGAAAUUUAAUUCCACAAAAGAGGCUUGGAACUUUUGGACAUGUUAUGGAGGUCAUAUUGGUUUUGAUGUAAGGAUAAAUUAUGAAAACAAGAGCAAACUCGAUGGAGUAAUCACUUCAGCAAGAUAUGUUUGUUCCAAUGAGGGCUACAGAAGAAAAGACAAAAGGGAUAAUAAUACAAAGCGUCCUCGUGCAGAAACAAGGACCGGCUGCAAUGUUCGAAUGGGAAUCACUAUAGACCGAGAAGCAGGAAAUUAUGAGGUGCAUGAGUUAGUUGUUGAACACAUCCAUGUGUUGCAAUUACCUGGGGCAAGCCACUUGAUGCCAUCACAGAGGAAAAUUUCGGCCUUGCAAGCAUUUGAAAUUGAAACAGCGGAUGAUUCAGGAAUUGUACCUAAAAAAGCCCAUGAGUUAGCAAAUCGACAAGUUGGUAGUCCACUGAACCUUGGCUACACAUGUCGUGAUCGCAAGAACCACUUGCGAACCAGGCGUCAAAGGGACUUGAUGUAUGGUGAAGUUGGAAGUAUGCUCAAGUAUUUUAGAGAUAAAAAGAAUGAGAAUCCUGCAUUUGAAUAUGACAUGUAACUAGAUUGUGAUGAAAAUAUAGCAAAUAUCUUUUGGGCUGAUGCAAGGAUGAUCAUUGACUAUGCUCAUUUCGGUGAUGUUGUUACCUUCGAUACAACAUUUGGGACAAACAAAGAGUAGAGACCCUUCGGUGUGUUUGUUGGCUUCAACCAUUUUAGAGAAAUGGUCAUUUUUGGUGCUGCACUUUUAUAUGAUGAGACAUUUGAAUCAUUCAAAUGGCUGUUCAACACGUUCCUAUCAGUGCAUAACAAAAAGCAACCUAGAACAAUCUUUACUGAUCAAGAUGUAGCAAUGGGUAAUGCAAUUCGGGCAGUAUUUAUCGAAGUAUGGCAUGGCUUGUGCACUUUUCACAUAAUGCAAAAUGCCAUCAGACACUUACCUCAUAAGAAAAAAGACGAGGAAGGACCAAAUGUACUUGCUGAUUUCAGUGCUUGCAUGUACAAGUAUGAGGAAGAGGAAGCCUUUGAAGAAGCUUUCAAUGCCAUAAGAAGCAAUGUGGAAACACAAACUUGGUUGGACAGUAUCUACAAAGUAAAAGAGAAAUGGGCAAGAUGUUACAUGAGGAAUGCUUACACUAUAGGCAUGAGAAGCACACAAUUAAGUGAGAGCUUGAACAGUGACUUGAAAGACCAUCUAAAAUAUGCUCUUUACAUCCUUCGGUUUUUCAAGCACGUAGAGAGGGUUGUGCAAGGAAAAAGAGAUAACGAGGUAAAUGAGGAAUACGAGUCUAGGAAAAAAUUACCUAGAGUCAGAAUGAGGACUCCUAUGGUAAUACAAGCUAGCAAAGUUUACACACCAUGCAUAUUUGAAGAUUUUCAGAAUGAGUAUGAAAGAUCCAUCUCAGCAUACAUCAAGCCAUCGGAAGAACACAAUGCAUAUACUGUUGCAAUUGCAAGUCUUGACCCAGAAUUCCCAUAUAAAGAAGAGUGCAAAGUACUAGUUGAUUAUGAAGAGCAAAAAGUUUUCUGCAAUUGUGGGCAAUUUGAAAGAGUUGGUAUAUUGUGCAGUCAUGCUUUGAAAGCCCUUGAUGUCAUGAAUAUUAAGUAUCUUCCAGGCCACUAUAUUUUGAAGCGAUGGACUCGAGAAGCGCGAAGCGGCACUAUUGAAAACAGCCAUGGAAACAUUGUUUUGGAAGAUCCUAGAUCAGAAGAUAGACAACAGUUGAAGUUUUUCAUGCACGAGUUCCUUGGCAUAGCUUCACAAGCAGUAACAUCAGAAGAGUGUAUCAAACUAGUAGAUGAUGCUUUGAGGAUUCUUAGGAAGCAAGUUGAAGAGAAAACUCGCACUACUACAUGCAGAACUGAAGAUAUAUCUAAAGAACCAGAGGAUUGUUUAAAGGAUGCUUCCCUAAAGAAAAAGGAAAUUCCGAAGAAAAAUUCAAGAAGAAAGAAAACAUGGCUUGGCAACCAGCACCCCAAUAAAAAGAAGGAGACAACUAUAGCAGUACCGAAAAAUCAAACUCAUUCUGUAAAUCUCUUGCACCUAUCUAACUACACUACUUAUUUAAUAGACUGAUAUAGUAACAAGUCAACUAAUAUUUGUUUUGAUUUUUGUUUUUAUGUUUGCAUAGAGAGGAAAGAAUGACAUUCCAGUAGCACAGUAUCAAGCACCUAUAGAGCAAAUGACUGGAACAAAUGCAAAUGGUUUGCAAGAAUAUGGGUACUAUGCUCGUCUACUAACGGUAUUUCCACUUAUCAUGUCUAACAUUCCUUAAAUUCGUUGGUAAACAAUAUGACUUUUUAUUAAUUAGUUAUAUCUCCCUUUAAUUUGCAGAGUGAAGCUGGUGAUCUUUGGAACUUAUAAAACUAUCCUGGGAUAUAACGAUAGGUUGAUGCAUGUCUGUUAUGUUGUCUUGCCAGAUGAGAUUAUGCAGAAGGCAUAACUGAAUCAGCAUACAUGAGACCCAAUGUGUUGAGUGCUCACUACUUCAAUUGGUUUAAUUUCAAUUGACUCCUAGUUUCCGAAGACAGAACAAUCAGUUUAGUUUCAUUUAAUUGCAACAAUGAUCUGUUGAGUACUUAUCACUUUUAAAUAUUCCAAUGACAUGCUCAGCUCUCUCUUGCUAUGCUUUCACGCCUGGGUCAUCGAGAAAUAGCAGCAGUACGGUAUGAACUAAUGAUGAAGAAAGGAAUAAAUUAGUUCUAGGUAACAAGAAGUAAUUGACCUUUGGUUUUGCUACUGGGGCUUGGCCAGGCAGGAGGGCGCCGAGGUCCAGCUAUCGCGACCCUGCCGUCAGAGGCCUCGUGCAGCCGUAAGAUAGCACGGCGGCCCAGGCAUGCCCCUCGUCUGGUUGCUACCCUCAUCCUCGUCCAGGUCGGCCGUGCUGCUCCGGGACAUCGCCGGCGUCGUAUUCCUUCUCGAGCUCGUUGGGAGGAGGCUCCAGCUUGCCGUUGUCGUCAGGCUCGUAGAUCUCGUCGUUGCUCUGCUGCUUGUGUACUUCGCCGUCUCCCUGCUGCUAGCAGCGGGAUACGUGUGGCGGUGAAGCUGCGCCGUCUCCAGUCAGCUCUCGCAGCAGCCCUCCGGCCAUCCCUUGCAGCUGGCUCGGCCGGGGUGGAGCAGUCUUGUGGAUUUGGGGAAACGGUGGCCAAGCUUCACUAGAGGAAGAAACAGUGGCCGAGCUUCACUAGAGGAAAGGGAUAAGACAGUAUAGUUUUUUAUUUAUGAGACCAGCAGUUCCUCGUUGCAGAGCCAUAUAUAGGAUUAAAA
rnacentral:lncRNA from 1 species